rnacentral:lncRNA from 1 species
CGGGGCGCGCGCCCCGGCCCAGCCCAGCCUCCGCCUAACACCGCCUUAAAGCAAAAAUACCUGCUAGAGCCGGGCCUGCCGUGCAGACUUACACGGAGGUCUUCUGCGCCCGGAGGGCAAUGUUUUCCGNGGACGCGCCCGGGGACGCGGGGCGCGCGCCCCGGCCCAGCCCAGCCUCCGCCUCCAACCGCCUUAAAGCAAAAAUACCUGCUAGAGCCGGGCCUGCCGUGCAGACUUACACGGAGGUCUUCUGCGCCCGGAGGCGUAAAGCCCCUCAAGACGGAGCCUUCCUCGUCUGUGCACUUCCCCUUGACGUGACAGUGGUGACAACUGAGAGAGACCACGGAGCCGUGGCGAGCCCUGAGGCAGCCCGUCAUGCUGCAGGCGGACGGCUUCGCAGAAAUCAGGGGCAGCGGAACCAGGCCUCACAGCCCGUGUCUGGAGCAGAGCCUGGGCUCCCUCGUAGCAAAGUGGGACAGCACGUUCCAAACGUCACACCCGCUCUCGUCCGCUCCAACGCCGCUUCCGUGAAGCUUCCUUCCUAACCCUGCUGGGAAGACUUGCCACCUCUUGAAUUGCACUCUGCUGUUCCCACCUGUUCCUCCGGGUUUACCUAGGACUCCCCGGGCGCCGACUAAGGCCCGUUUCUCAGCGUGCCCCCGGGCCUUGCGGCGUGGAAGGACAAUUUCCCCGCACCCGCGCUCCAGGCCUGCAGCCUCAGGGGACGGGGAGCGUGUGAACACCCCGUUAGACGUGCUUGUCUGCGCAGAACGGCUUGGUUCGAAUCUGUGUGGGGCAGAUGUAGCAACACCCCACAGAGGUUUAUUACAAGGAAUCGUAUAAACGCUAAGGGCUGUUGGCUUCAAACAUCGGCCCAAAGCCCUGAACAUUGUUGUGUCGUCGGAGUUAUUUAUAGGAAGCCACCGGAGAACCCCAAGGCCGCCACCUGAGUGGUAGGACGCCAAUAGCACUAUUAACACACUGGUGUGGCCUAAUUUAUCAAAUAAGCCAGUCUGUCUAACAAAACACAGAGGGUCCACGACCCAGCACGCAACCAUCGGGCAUGAGCGGGCACGUGGGCUUGGCCAAGCCGAAGGCAGCCUGGCCCAGGCCAGAGGACAGGACAAAGGGCAGACACGUGGCCAGAGCUCUCCCCACCGCUGUCCGGCCCGGGGACGUGUCCUGGGGACCUGGCUGGGCCCGGAGGGGCGGGCAUGUCACACUAGUCGGCUAAUCAUCGAGCCAGCUGGGGUCCCUGAGCCUCCGCUUUGUCUUGCACCACUGCCUGCGAUGGGCCGUCGAACACCGCCCCGUGGCUGCCCGGGACGGCGCGCCUGGUGUGACCCCGUUCCACGCCACUCCUGGCCAGUUUGGGAGAGACCUGGGCGGCUCAGGCGUGCCCCAUGAGGAUGGCACAGGGCGCUGAAGGGAGCCCGUGGGGCCACAUGCGCGUGGCAGGGCAGGUGGCCGGCCGUGGGGGGGCCGCCCGGGGCUCACGGCUUGCCUCACACGAGCGUCUGUGCCAGUCGUACCCUUGCGGCCGAA